CUUUUGUUGAAGGUCGUUCGAGCUUUUCCUGGGAGUAUGGCAUCAGUUACAUACUUCAGCACCGUAGCGCCUGGUAUGAGCCUCGUGGAGAAGCAAUCGCUAGUCCACGGGGCUCAUACUUCAGCGCUGCAGCGCUUGAGAUCGGAAGAGGCACA